AUUGAACGCUGGCGGCAGGCCUAACACAUGCAAGUCGAACGAGUGGCGGACGGGUGAGUAAUGUCUGGGAAACUGCCCGAUGGAGGGGGAUAACUACUGGAAACGGUAGCUAAUACCGCAUACCAUCGGAUGUGCCCAGAUGUGAUUAGCUGGUAGGUGGGGUAACGGCUCACCUAGGCGACGAUCCCUAGCUGGUCUGAGAGGAUGACCAGCCACCCGGGAACGGAGACACGGUCCAGACUCCUACGGGGGGCAGCGUUGGGGAAUAUUGCACAAUGGGCGCAAUCCGGAUGCAGCCAUGCCGCGUGGGUGAAGAAGGCCUUCGGGUUGUAAAGCACUUUCAGCGGGGAGGCGUUACCCGCAGAAGAAGCACCGGCUAACUCCGUGCCAGCAGCCGCGGUAAUUC
rnacentral:rRNA from 1 species